UGCAAGUCGAGCGAACCUUUGGGAGCUUGCUCCUAAAGGUUAGCGGCGGACGGGUGAGUAACACGUGGGCAACCUGCCUAUAAGACUGGGAUAACUUCGGGAAACCGGAGCUAAUACCGGAUAAUUCUUUUCUACACAUGUAGAAAAGCUAAAAGACGGUUUACGCUGUCACUUAUAGAUGGGCCCGCGGCGCAUUAGCUAGUUGGUGAGGUAACGGCUCACCAAGGCCACGAUGCGUAGCCGACCUGAGAGGGUGAUCGGCCACACUGGGACUGAGACACGGCCCAGACUCCUACGGGAGGCAGCAGUAGGGAAUCUUCCGCAAUGGACGAAAGUCUGACGGAGCAACGCCGCGUGAGUGAUGAAGGUUUUCGGAUCGUAAAACUCUGUUGUUAGGGAAGAACAAGUACGAGAGUAACUGCUCGUACCUUGACGGUACCUAACCAGAAAGCCACGGCUAACUACGUGCCAGCAGCCGCGGUAAUACGUAGGUGGCAAGCGUUGUCCGGAAUUAUUGGGCGUAAAGCGCGCGCAGGCGGUCCUUUAAGUCUGAUGUGAAAGCCCACGGCUCAACCGUGGAGGGUCAUUGGAAACUGGGGGACUUGAGUGCAGGAGAGAAGAGUGGAAUUCCACGUGUAGCGGUGAAAUGCGUAGAGAUGUGGAGGAACACCAGUG
rnacentral:rRNA from 1 species